GACAGAGGUGCCAAGCGUUAGGCGGAAUCACUGGGCUUAAAGCGUGUGUAGGUGGAUUUGUAAGUACCUUGUGAAAUCCCAUGGCUCAACCAUGGAACUGCUCGGUAUACUGCGAAUCUUGAGCCACUUAGGGGCUACCGGAACAAAUGGUGGAGCGGUGAAAUGCGUAGAUAUCGGGAGGAACACCUGAGGCGAAGGCGGGCUACUGGGCCGAUACUGACGCUGAGGCGCGAAAGCCAGGGGAGCAAACGGG
rnacentral:rRNA from 1 species